rnacentral:rRNA from 1 species
UACGAAGGGGGCUAGCGUUGCUCGGAAUUACUGGGCGUAAAGCGCACGUAGGCGGCUUGUUAAGUCGGGGGUGAAAUCCUGGAGCUCAACUCCAGAACUGCCUUCGAUACUGGCGAGCUCGAGUUCGGGAGAGGUGAGUGGAAUUCCGAGUGUAGAGGUGAAAUUCGUAGAUAUUCGGAGGAACACCAGUGGCGAAGGGCGGCUCACUGGCUCGGUACUGACGCUGAGGUGGCGAAAGCGUGGGGAGCAAACAGGG